rnacentral:tmRNA from 1 species
GGGGGCGCCAGGUCUCGACGGGGUAGUGGUCUGCAGGAUGGCGAGCCGUGUCGCCGAGCACGUAAAAGCGGCAAGGCUAUAAACGCCAAUCGCGAACUGGCUUACGCUGCGUAAGUAGCGAAUCUCGGUCAGCAGGAGCGGCGUCCGGCGUAAACUCCGCUGACUCGCUCCCGGCGGGCGUCGCGGCCGUCGGGGGGACUCAAUUCCGCGACUGGCUUGUCCGGAUCCGCUCCCACGGGAGCCUGGCAGGUGAGAUGCAAAACCGGGAGUACGCUCGUAGAUGUCUUGCGGGACGCUGCUUCGGACGCGAGUUCGAUUCUCGCCGCCUCCACCA